rnacentral:lncRNA from 1 species
UUAGUGGAGCGUGUUUGGUUAACCGAUACACUAACCUGGACUUAACAAGGUAAGCAAAGGGUGGCUUAAGGUUUAUCAUAGAUCGGUGGAGCGCGUGUGGGUAACCGGCACAUCGAUUGAGUGAUAAACAUUAAGAGUACCAAGUAAUUUGCAUGGUUACUUCACACCUUGUUUUGUGAUCCUCGGCAUCCCAGUCACAAAACUUGAAGGGCACACUCGAGAUUAAAACAUGGUGAAAAGUUCAAUGAAUCUCAUAGAAUCUAGGAGUUUCAACACCAAUUAAAACCUAAUAAUUUAUUUCGUUUUUCAUGGUGGAAAAUGGUGAAUCGUCAUUCACCUAGCUUCAAAUAUUUUAUAGCUUGGAUUAUGACAUCCCUCUUCUAAGUUAUAAAAUAUUGUGUUGGGUCCUAACCUUAAUAUUACAUUUGUGUGGUGAAAAGUUCAAUGAAUCUCAUAGAAUCUAGGAGUUUCAACACCAAUUAAAACCUAAUAAUUUAUUUCGUUUUUCAUGGUGGAAAAUGGUGAAUCGUCAUUCACCUAGCUUCAAAUAUUUUAUAGCUUGGAUUAUGACAUCCCUCUUCUAAGUUAUAAAAUAUUGUGUUGGGUCCUAACCUUAAUAUUAC